rnacentral:rRNA from 1 species
CAGCAGCCACGGUAAUACAGAGGGUGCGAGCGUUAAUCGGAUUUACUGGGCGUAAAGCGUGCGUAGGCGGCUUCUUAAGUCGGAUGUGAAAUCCCUGAGCUUAACUUAGGAAUUGCAUUUGAUACUGGGAAGCUAGAGUAUGGGAGAGGAUGGUAGAAUUCCAGGUGUAGCGGUGAAAUGCGUAGAGAUCUGGAGGAAUACCGAUGGCGAAGGCAGCCAUCUGGCCUAAUACUGACGCUGAGGCACGAAAGCAUGGGGAGCAAACAGGAUUAGAUACCCCUGUAGUCCCUGUCUCUUAUAC